rnacentral:tRNA from 1 species
UCUAAUGUGGCAGAAUAGUGCAAUGGAUUUAAGCCCCGUACAUAAAGGAAACUUUCUUUAGAA